AUGGGUCAACUGAUAUCAGGAUGAAGCGAUUUAAUCCAUUUAUAUUUACACAAACCUAUCGAUUUGCGUCAGAAGACAUUCAUUGGUCGAUUUGAGUCAUGUGGAUUACUUGUAUGCUGCUAAAAAUAACUUUUGUACCAUCAAAUAGCGAGCAGUCUAAUGGCAUCUGUUUACUUAUAUUGUUUUGACAAAAAGAGCUGAAAUGUGCUUAUAAAAAUCUUCACUUCGUUUCUGCUGAAGAGGGAAAGUCAUACACAUAUGGGAUGGCUUAAAGGAAUGACAACAAGGCUGUGAGGGAUAGAUGUACAGUCACUACAAUGACCCUUCCUGUCCUUCACUCUCUCACUCUCUCCUCCUUCUGCACUUCAAGCAACAUCUGGAUCUCAUUCUGUGAAAAACCAAAACAACAUGAGAAAGGGACAGAGUGAGAGAGAAAGCAGGAAAAUGGACAACGGUGAAUAAAAUUGAUGAAAAUCAAAGUGAAAGAUAAUGUGAAAAGAUAUUUAAAACUUGACUCUUGUUUCCCAAAUCCUUGAACAACAUAUAAAUUAUAGUCUGAGUUACACAGAAGACAGAAGUGUACAUACGCUCAAUAACACAUACAACUACUGUAUAUUUAAUGUAAUAAUGUUUAUUAAAACAAUAAAUAUAAA